UACGAAGGGGGGCUAGCGUUGUUCGGAUUUACUGGGCGUAAAGCGCGCGCAGGCGGUCUUCCAAGUCAGUGGUGAAAGCCCGGAGCUCAACUCCGGAACUGCCAUUGAAACUGUUAGACUUGAGGAUGAGAGAGGUGAGUGGAAUUCCCAGUGUAGAGGUGAAAUUCGUAGAUAUUGGGAAGAACACCGGUGGCGAAGGCGGCUCACUGGCUCAUUUCUGACGCUCAGGCGCGACAGCGUGGGGGAUCAAAACAGG
rnacentral:rRNA from 1 species